rnacentral:rRNA from 1 species
CCCUUAGAUGUUCUGGGCCGCACGCGCGCUACACUGGUACGUUCAACAAGUUUACAACCUUGACCGAAAGGUCUGGGUAAUCUUUUGAAUGCGUACCGUGCUAGGGAUAGAUUAUUGCAAUUAUUAAUCUUGAACGAGGAAUUCCUAGUAAACGCAAGUCAUCAGCUUGCAUUGAUUACGUCCCUGCCCUUUGUACACACCGCCCGUCGCACCUACCGAUUGAAUGGUCCGGUGAAAUCUUCGGAUUGAGACUUUGAUUUCUUCACGGAAAACGCUGUUUUAAAAAGUUGAUUAAACCUUACCAUUUAGAGGAAGGUGAAGUCGUAACA